UCCAUGUGGAUCCUGUGUCUGUACAGAAAGAAUUGGCCACAAUCUUUCCAAAAAGGUUUGGCAUUAAAAAAAGAGAGUUUUUUUUUUUUUUUUUUUUUUUUUUUUUUUUUAGGAUGGAAUUUCUUACUCUUGUUGGCCAGGAUGGAGUGCAAAUGGCAUGAUCUCGGCUCACCUCAACUUCUGCCUCCUGGGUUCAAGCGAUUCUCCUGCCUCAGUCUCCCGAGUAACUGGGAUUACAGGCAACUUCUGCAGCCACAUUAUCCUUCAGUGACCAGCAACAGUGAUCAGUCAACAGCCAUCAACAUCGAGGGAAGAACCUUCACCAUCAAAAAGAUUGCAACUUUCUGAAGGUUCAGAUCAUCAUUACCAUUUUUAAGUAAUGAACUAUUUUAAAAGUAAAGGUUAUACCUUUUUAAACGCAAUGCUAUUGUACACUUAGUAGACUAUAGUGUGGUGUAAAUAUAACUUAUAUGCACUGGGAAACCAAAAAAUGUGAAUGACCCUCUUUAUUGUGAUAGUCUGUCACUAAACCCACAGUAUCUCUAAACCAUGC
ensembl:lncRNA